CUCCGAAGUGAGUGAUACCCUGCUUCCAGGAAAAGCCACUAAGCUUCAGCUGCACACGACCGUACCGCAAACCGACACUGGUGCGCGAGAUGAGUAUUCUAAGGCGCUUGAGAGAACUCAGGAGAAGGAACUCGGCAAAUUGACACCGUAACUUCGGAAGAAGGUGUGCCUUUAGUAGGUGAAGGGAUUUACUCCUGGAGCCCAAUGAGGUUGCAAAAAAUCGGUGGCUGCGACUGUUUAUUAAAAACACAGCACUCUGCAAACACGAAAGUGGACGUAUAGGGUGUGACGCCUGCCCGGUGCUGGAAGAUUAAAUGAUGGGGUGCAAGCUCUUGAUUGAAGUCCCAGUAAACGGCGGCCGUAACAAUAACGGUCCUAAGGUAGCGAAAUUCCUUGUCGGGUAAGUUCCGACCUGCACGAAUGGCGUAACGAUGGCCACACUGUCUCCUCCUGAGACUCAGCGAAGUUGAAAUGUUUGUGAUGAUGCAAUCUCCCCGCGGAAAGACGGAAAGACCCCAUGAACCUUUACUGUAGCUUUGUAUUGGACUUUGAACAGAUCUGUGUAGGAUAGGUGGGAGGCUUUGAAGCAGGGUCGCUAGAUCUUGUGGAGCCAACGUUGAAAUACCACCCUGGUGUGUUUGAGGUUCUAACCUAGGUCCAUUAUCUGGAUCGGGGACAGUGCAUGGUAGGCAGUUUGACUGGGGCGGUCUCCUCCCAAAGCGUAACGGAGGAGUUCGAAGGUACGCUAGGUACGGUCGGACAUCGUGCUAAUAGUGCAAUGGCAUAAGCGUGCUUAACUGCGAGACUGACAAGUCGAGCAGAUGCGAAAGCGGGACAUAGUGAUCCGGUGGUUCUGUAUGGAAGGGCCAUCGCUCAACGGAUAAAAGGUACUCUGGGGAUAACAGGCUGAUACCGCCCAAGAGUUCAUAUCGACGGCGGUGUUUGGCACCUCGAUGUCGGCUCAUCUCAUCCUGGGGCUGUAGCCGGUCCCAAGGGUAUGGCUGUUCGCCAUUUAAAGAGGUACGUGAGCUGGGUUUAAAACGUCGUGAGACAGUUUGGUCCCUAUCUUCCGUGGGCGCUGCAGAUUUGAGGAAGCCUGCUCCUAGUACGAGAGGACCGGAGUGGACGCACCUCUGGUGUAUCGGUUGUCACGCCAGUGGCAUUGCCGAGUAGCUAUGUGCGGAAGAGAUAACCGCUGAAAGCAUCUAAGCGGGAAACUCGUUUCAAGAUGAGAUCUGCCGGGGCCUUGAGCCCCCUGAAGAGUCGUUCAAGACCAGGACGUUGAUAGGUCAGGUGUGGAAGCGCAGUAAUGCGUUAAGCUAACUGAUACUAAUUGCUCGUGCGGCUUGACCCC
rnacentral:rRNA from 1 species